rnacentral:rRNA from 1 species
UACGUAGGGUGCAAGCGUUGUCCGGAAUUAUUGGGCGUAAAGAGCUCGUAGGCGGUUUGUUGCGUCGGCUGUGAAAUCCCGAGGCUCAACCUCGGGUCUGCAGUCGAUACGAGCAAACUAGAGUGUUGCAGGGGAGACUGGAAUUCCAGGUGUAGCGGUGAAAUGCGUAGAUAUCUGGAGGAACACCGGUGGCGAAGGCGGCGUCCUGGACCAACACUGACACUGAUGAGCGAAAGCCAGGGGAGCAAACGGG